GAUGAACGCUGGCGGCGUGCUUAACACAUGCAAGUCGAACGAUGAAGCCCAGCUUGCUGGGUGGGCUAGUGGCGAACGGGUGAGUAACACGCGAGUAACCCGCCCUUAACUCUGGGAUAAGCCUGGGAAACUGGGUCUAAUAUCGGAGAGGAGCGUCCACCGCAUGGGGGGUGUUGGAAAGAUUUAUCGGUUUUGGAUGGACUCGCGGCCUAUCAGCUUGUUGGUGGGGUAGUGGCUCACCAAGGCGACGACGGGUAGCCGGCCUGAGAGGGUGACCGGCCACACUGGGACUGAGACACGGCCCAGACUCCUACGGGAGGCAGCAGUGGGGAAUAUUGCACAAUGGGCGGAAGCCUGAUGCAGCGACGCCGCGUGAGGGAUGACGGCCUUCGGGUUGUAAACCUCUUUCGGUAGGGAAGAAGCGAAAGUGACGGUACCUGCAGAAGAAGCACCGGCUAACUACGUG
rnacentral:rRNA from 1 species